GAUAGGGCCCGAGAGGGGAUUUCGAGAAAAAUAAGCGUGGUCCCCAAGCUCAUCGUUCCUGUCAACCCCAGGCUUAGGACUGGGUGGGAUGCAGGGCCGAGGUGACUGACGUCAGACCCUGUGGUCCUGCAACCUUGAGUUCGCAGGAGUGAUGGGGAGUCUUAGAUAGAACUAGAAAUCAGAACAACUCUCACUCCCAUCCUACACUCAAUCCAUUUCCCCCAUUGAGCACCCCAGUGAAACAUUUCAGUUUAAAAUUAUUUCAGCCAUUACUGGCUUUGUCUUGUCUGCCCAGGGCUUUAUUAGGCUAUUUUAGAUGUCCAGAUAGUUAGUUUAUCCCCAGGUACCAAAAGCUAAUAAUACUUGUUAUACCCUCACCCCAUACUGCACACCACACAUGCUGUUUGCUUCAUGAGGACCCCUGAGUCAUGUGGAGGUAGGUGUCAGUCCCAUAAGUGGUGGAGGUGCAUGAGCUGUGGAGGGAAGGCAUUAAGAUGCUUUUACUGCUUUGAUGCCUUCUAUGCCCAGGUGCCCCCCAGGCCCAACUCCUGGAAUGCCUAAGCUAGAACCAGAUGGGAAUAUUAGGUGCCUAUUAGGUG
rnacentral:lncRNA from 1 species